UGGGGAAUCUUGGACAAUGGGGGCAACCCUGAUCCAGCAAUGCCGCGUGAGUGAAGAAGGCCUUCGGGUUGUAAAGCUCCUUUGUCAGGGAAGAAACGGUAGUAGCGAAUAACUAUUACUAAUGACGGUACCUGAAGAAUAAGCACCGGCUAACUACGUGCCAGCAGCCGCGGUAAUACGUAGGGUGCAAGCGUUAAUCGGAAUUACUGGGCGUAAAGCGUGCGCAGGCGGUUGUGUAAGUCAGAUGUGAAAUCCCCGGGCUCAACCUGGGAAUUGCAUUUGAGACUGCACGGCUAGAGUGUGUCAGAGGGGGGUAGAAUUCCACGUGUAGCAGUGAAAUGCGUAGAUAUGUGGAGGAAUACCGAUGGCGAAGGCAGCCCCCUGGGAUAACACUGACGCUCAUGCACGAAAGCGUGGGGAGCAAACAGGAUUAGAUACCCCCGUAGUCCCUGAGCGGGCUGGCAAGGCGCAU
rnacentral:rRNA from 1 species